AGAACACAACUGAAUCCCUAAAAACGUGAAUUUUUUAAACUCCUUUCAACCAAGAUGAACACGGCAAUCCUCGAUAAUUUGGAAAGGCAAAGCAAUUCUUCGAAAGCCUAUAUGUUUCAAAAAAAGCAAUUCUUCUUAAGCCUAUAUUCUUGAUAAUCGUUACAGAAAUUCUUGAGUUGAAAGUUACAUCCUCCCCAUCAAAUUGAGAUUUCGAAAGCCUAUAUGUUUCAAACAAUCCAUCUCCUCCAUGGACAACAAUUCGCAACCUAUUAUUCGUUUUCUGUUGAUGCAGCAAAUUUUCCUUUGACAGGUUAUGGUUCUUAUCUCUACGUAUUAUUUUGACCACUUUCAAGACAUCGUUGGAUCGUUCCUUUUUAUCACUACUCGUUCCAAAAGAAUGAUGUUGAUGAGACGAACGCUUCUUUCUGACACCAAUAGAAGCAACUUUCUGCAGAUAAUCCUCAGAUAACACUUUGUGCCUAUUUCUGAUGCCAGCAGUGUUAUUAUCCGAGAUGGUUCUUCGUUGAUGUCGAGUGAACGAACGACGGUUCAAUCGCAGAACCGUUGAGCACCGAGAAGAAGGUAUGUGAGUUCAACUAUGGAAGUUGUUUGGCAAUUAGCAGUGGAACACAUCAUAGACGGUAUGUGAGUUAAAGGAUCGAUAGUGUUUGCCAAUUAGUAGUGGGCUGCUUCGUAUAAGGUACAUUGAUCAAUUGAUAUGAUAAUUUUAGUUAUUGGUUUAACAUUGGCUGCUCAUUUGGAACCAUUUAUGCUAUUAGUUGAUGUGUAGAUAGAAACUUACGGUUGUAACCAUUAAUAAGUUUUUUCACCAUUGAAACGAUUCAAAUGGUUAUUGUUGUGUUUGUAGGAUUUUACUUUAUUAAGGUUCUGAAGUUUAAAUUCUGUUAUAAAAAGUCCGAUUACUUGGGAUUCGCGGUUAUUAUUGUAAAAAAUCAAUGGUACAAAUCGA